UCAAAUUAAGGGGAGGUUAUA
rnacentral:piRNA from 1 species